UAAUACGUAGGGGGCAAGCGUUAUCCGGAAUUAUUGGGCGUAAAGAGUUCGUAGGUGGUUUUGUAAGCGCGGGGUGAAAGGCAAUGGCUCAACCAUUGUUAGCCUUGCGAACUGCAAGACUUGAGUGCGGGAGAGGAAAGUGGAAUUCCUAGUGUAGCGGUGAAAUGCGUAGAUAUUAGGAGGAACACCAGUGGCGAAGGCGACUUUCUGGACCGUAACUGACACUGAGGAACGAAAGCGUGGGGAGCAAACAGG
rnacentral:rRNA from 1 species